UACGUAGGGCGCAAGCGUUAUCCGGAAUUAUUGGGCGUAAAGAGCUCGUAGGCGGCUUGUCGCGUCUGCCGUGAAAGUCCGGGGCUCAACUCCGGAUCUGCGGUGGGUACGGGCAGACUAGAGUGAUGUAGGGGAGACUGGAAUUCCUGGUGUAGCGGUGAAAUGCGCAGAUAUCAGGAGGAACACCGAUGGCGAAGGCAGGUCUCUGGGCAAUAACUGACGCUGAGGAGCGAAAGCAUGGGGAGCGAACAGG
rnacentral:rRNA from 1 species